rnacentral:rRNA from 1 species
GAUGAACGCUAGCGGCAGGCCUAACACAUGCAAGUCGAGGGGCAGCACAGAAACAGCAAUGUUUUGGUGGCGACCGGCGGACGGGUGCGUAACGCGUAUGCAACCUACCUUUAACAGGGGGAUAACGGAGAGAAAUUUCCACUAAUACCCCAUAACAUCGAUCAAGGCAUCUUGAUUGGUUGAAAACUCCGGUGGUGAAAGAUGGGCAUGCGUUGUAUUAGGUAGUUGGUGAGGUAAUGGCUCACCAAGCCUACGAUACAUAGGGGGACUGAGAGGUUAGCCCCCCACACUGGUACUGAGACACGGACCAGACUCCUACGGGAGGCAGCAGUGAGGAAUAUUGGUCAAUGGGGGCAACCCUGAACCAGCCAUGCCGCGUGCAGGAAGACGGCUCUAUGAGUUGUAACCUGCUUUUAAACAGGGAUAAAGCACAGUAUGUAUACUGUGUUGAAGGUACUGUAAGAAUAAGGAUCGGCUAACUCCGUGCCAGCCGCCGCGGUAA